UUGCCUACGGGUGGCUGCAGUCGAGGAUCUCCGUCAAUGGGCGAAAGCCUGAACGAGCGAUGCCGCGUGCGCGAUGAAGGCCUUCGGGUUGUAAAGCGCGAAGGUGGGGAGAAAAGCCGAAAGGUUUGAUCUAUCCACAGUAAGCUCGGGCUAAGUUCGUGCCAGCAGCCGCGGUAAGACGAACCGAGCGAACGUUGUUCGGAAUCACUGGGCUUAAAGGGCGCGUAGGCGGGCUGUCAAGUCUGGGGUGAAAUCCCGCGGCUCAACCGUGGAACUGCCUCAGAUACUGACGGCCUCGAGGGAGGUAGGGGCGAGCGGAACUAAUGGUGGAGCGGUGAAAUGCGUUGAUAUCAUUAGGAACUCCGGUGGCGAAGGCGGCUCGCUGGACCUUUUCUGACGCUGAGGCGCGAAAGCUAGGGGAGCAAACGGGAUUAGAUACCCCGGUAGUCC
rnacentral:rRNA from 1 species